CUCACCAUAGUUUAAGGAAAACUUCGACCUGCAAAAUCGAUAAUGGAUUAUAUUCCUGGUGUGU
rnacentral:tRNA from 1 species